rnacentral:rRNA from 1 species
CCUACGGGUGGCAGCAGUGGGGAAUAUUGCACAAUGGGGGAAACCCUGAUGCAGCGACGCCGCGUGAGUGAAGAAGUAUUUCGGUAUGUAAAGCUCUAUCAGCAGGGAAGAAAAUGACGGUACCUGACGAAGAAGCCCCGGCUAACUACGUGCCAGCAGCCGCGGUAAUACGUAGGGGGCAAGCGUUAUCCGGAUUUACUGGGUGUAAAGGGAGCGUAGACGGCCAGACAAGUCAGAAGUGAAAGCCCCGGGCUCAACCCUGGGACUGCUUUUGAAACUGCCGGGCUGGAGUGCAGGAGAGGUAAGCGGAAUUCCUAGUGUAGCGGUGAAAUGCGUAGAUAUUAGGAGGAACACCAGUGUCGACGGCGGCUUACUGGACUGUAACUGACGUUGAGGCUCGAAAGCGUGGGGAGCAAACAGGAUUAGAUACCCGAGUAGUC